GCACCGGUAGUUCACUGGUAAAAUGCUCGCCUGCCACGCGGGCGGCCCGGGUUCGAUUCCCGGUCGAUGCA
rfam:Caenorhabditis japonica strain DF5081 Contig17844.7, whole genome shotgun sequence.